rnacentral:rRNA from 1 species
UAAUGCCUAGGAAUCUGCCUGGUAGUGGGGGACAACGUUUCGAAAGGAACGCUAAUACCGCAUACGUCCUACGGGAGAAAGCAGGGACCUUCGGGCCUUGCGCUAUCAGAUGAGCCUAGGUCGGAUUAGCUAGUUGGUGAGGUAAUGGCUCACCAAGGCGACGAUCCGUAACUGGUCUGAGAGGAUGAUCAGUCACACUGGAACUGAGACACGGUCCAGACUCCUACGGGAGGCAGCAGUA